UACAGAGGUCUCAAGCGUUGUUCGGAUUCAUUGGGCGUAAAGGCGCGUAGGCGGCCAUCUAAGUCAGACGUGAAAUCCCCCGGCUCAACCUGGGAACUGCGUCUGAUACUGGACGGCUUGAGUUUGGGAGAGGGAUGUAGAAUUCCAGGUGUAGCGGUGAAAUGCGUAGAUAUCUGGAGGAAUACCGGUGGCGAAGGCGGCAUCCUGGACCAAUACUGACGCUGAGGCGCGAAAGCUAGGGGAGCAAACGGG
rnacentral:rRNA from 1 species